AACGUAGGAGACAAACGUUAUCCGGAGUUACUGGGCGUAAAGGGCGUGUAGGUGGUUUCGUAAGUCUGGUGUGAAAUUUUUCGGCUUAACCGGGAAAGGUCGUCGGAUACUGCGAGGCUAGAGGACGGUAGAGGCGUGUGGAAUUCCGGGUGUAGCGGUGAAAUGCGCAGAUAUCGGGAGGAACACCGAUGGCGAAGGCAGGACUCUGGGCCGGUACUGACGCUGAGGAGCGAAAGCGUGGGGAGCAAACAGG
rnacentral:rRNA from 1 species